GGCUACUGUAAACAUCCUUGACUGGAAGCUGGUGUUAGGUUUUUGGGCUUUCAGUCGGAUGUUUGCAGCAGCCAACUGCUAUUCCCAUCGCUGCACUUCCCAGGCUCCAGUGUUAUUUCUGCACACAACUACUCCCGUCGUUCUGGACCAGAUGAUGUGGAAGUAUUCUGUAAAGGCUGGUGUGCAGAGAAAGAUUCAUGCUGGAUUUUACAUGAUACUGGACCUUGUGGGAAUAAACGCCCACAUCAUUAAGAAGUGGACUCAACACUGUUGCAUGUGCACCUGGAAAAAAAAUAAUAUUUACACUGUAAUGCCAAUCUACACUAGUUACUACAAAGGCUAAAACAACUAUUUAGAAGUCGCAGCCAGAGCAGCUCAGACCUGCUGCAUGGCUUUGCCUCACGUGCUGCUGGUGUUGGAGUUUUUGUCUUUUUUUCCCCCAGUUUUUGCUGCAACCCACUUCUAGACUUCAUAGAAUUAAACAAAAAAAUCUCCUCUGCUCUCUGCAUUGUGCAUGGCCCAGUGCACACACAGAAAGCAUGUCGCAGUCCCCAACUGUUUCACCCCCAAUCUAAUUGACUACAGCCUACUAGAUUUUCCAUGAAGCACAUAUACAGUACACACCUGUGGCUACAGGUGAGCUAACGGCUAAUCUAACAAGCUGCUAACAGCCUCUAGACAGAUACAGCAGGAAUAUUUUCACCAGAAGGAGGAAAACUCACAGCUGGUCAGUGAUGAACUCGCCGACAUCCACAGAAAGCAGGACGUUAGUUAGUAAAUUAAUAGAAACUGCACAUCAGGAAGUCCUACAGAGAGUACUCGAACCCACUCACGUAAGAAACACAGAGCAGAGAUUAGGCUGCGUACUCCUCCAUAGGUGUACGCAGGUGUACCUGUAUAGGUCUGUCCUUAUACAUUAGAGGUUUGUCAGUGAGAUGUAACGAUGCUCUGGAUCACCUCUUCCAACAACAGACACACAUUUCUGUUAUUUGUAGUCAGUGAGCUGACCGGCACCUGUCGGCAUUGAUAAGCCCAGUGGCACAUGAUUUCAGUGCUUUGGAAAAUUAAGAACCGGUUCCUUAGUGGAACCGGGUUUCAAUUCCCAUCCCUAGUUAUGAGCAUGAACUCUUCCAGUAUUGAAGUAUUAUAGAGUCAGGUCAUACAUCCAGGUCAUUCAGAAGGACUUUGAUCCCAAAUGCACCUGCCAGUCUGCAACAGAAAAAGAGAGGACGUGACUUUGUGUAAUGUUCCAGUCAAAGUACAAACCUCAACCCAACUGCAGUGGGACUUAAGAGGGCUGUGAAUAAUACACACAGGCUCAAUGAUCUGAAGCAACAUUGCAGAAAAAAGAAAAGAAAAAAGAAAAAAAAAAGGUCUAAAUUCCUCCCACAAUGUCAGAGACGGAUAAUAUCAAACAGAAAACUAUUCAAGUUAUUGCUGCUAAAGGUGGUUGUACAAGCUUAGAGUAAAUGUGAUUCUUUCUCAUUGUAGAAGAAAAUACAUUUCAGAUUCCAGGUAUUGGAUCAUGAGUUAUUUGAGGUUUUCCACUCUCCUUUUCUGGAUUUUGGAUUAGUUUGAUUAAAAAAAUCUUUAGUAAAAUGUUUAUGGAUAUAUAUAUUUUUUAAUCUGGGGUUGUUUGUAUCCAGUUUGAAGUUCUUUAAAUGCCAGACAAUUUUAAUUUACAGUAUGUCCUGAUACAUGAAGCCUUAGGGCAGGAAUAUACAUGUUUUUAAUUAUGUAAAUGCUUGUUUUCAUGCUGCCUCGUGUGUGUUGUAUUUCUUUGUUGUGUGGUUUGUUCAUGUCUUCAGAUGCGUUUGCAAGCUGCAAUAUGUGAGUUACCAGUAGGGGCAGCAUAGGGACCAGUGUGACCAGAUAUAAGGUCACAGCUGAGACAUCCUUGGAUAUUUAGGAUUUGUCUCAGUGCUUCACAACUUAUAAAAUUGUCACGUUUGACAUCAGUUCAGUUCUUCAGCUCCACUCCAGCAAGACUUCUUUUCUGUGUAUACUGUAAAGAUGAUUUUUAAUGCAAAGGGAAUUUGUAGCACUCUGAAACAGCUGGUCGUGACAGUUGUUUCCAUUCAGUUCCCAGUGGGAGCAGCUUCAUCCUCUCCUGGGACAUGAGUAUAAAAGAGGAGGGGAAGGGAUCGAGGGGAAAGGGGAAAUGUAGAGAAGAGUGGAAUGGGAGGAGUGAGGGGAGAGAGGGGAGGAGAAAGGAGGUGAAAACUGCAUAGUUUGGUCCUCUCCCACACUCGGUGAGUGCUAAGAGGAAGUGGGUGUAACAAAUACCACAGGGCCACAGACGGGGAAAGAAAGAAGGAAGGAAGAAAGGAAGGAAGGGAGGAAGGAAGGAAGCAUUGUGAUAAUUAAACCCACCCCAACAUUCAUCAAAUGAAAGCAUACUUAGUGACCUGAAAAGAAGCUCAAUGAAGCUUCUUCACAUGGAGAUUCACAGAUGAUCUAACCUGCUUUUAGAGGAUGCUUUAUCCGCUAUUUGUUUUUUUGGGAGGAAAAAUAAAAGAGAAGUUGUGUCUUUCAGAGAAAUCUAGCAUGAGGAAAAGAAACAUAAAUUUAGUUUUUCGUGGGAAGUGUUGGUCAGUCAAUCUUAAAAAGUCAUGAGUAGUUUGACAAAAGUUAUCAAAAGACAUUUUAACAACAAACAAACUAAGGUUGAAAAUAUGAGUGUUUAUCAUGGCUGCAAUCUGAUAUUAUGAGUUGGUUUGAAGCGUGGUUUGUUCCACUGUAUGGUUGUUAUUAUUAUUAUUAUUAUGAUGAUGUAAUGCUCAAAAUCUUUGUGUUCUUUUUUACGUUUGUAAGAAUGCUUAUUAUAACUAUAUUUUCUAUAUAAUGGUGCUUUCACUGCUUGCAUAUUUAAAUAAUUAAAAUAAGUGCACAGUUUAUUACUGUCAUGGGUUCUAUUCCAGUGUUUUACAAAGAGAUAUAAAUAACACGGUGUGCCGUUCUUGUUUUCUUUUUACAUUCCUUGAGAUUUUGGAGUAUAUCUAUCCUGAUUUAUGUUUCAUAUAUUGUUUAAUGUGGGAUUUCUCAGUAUACAGAUCACACUUAAGAAGAAGUACUGUCUAAAUUCCAUCAUCAACUAUCUAAAUCUAACUUUUAUUGAGUAUAUAGUGAAUGUGUGGGCAAAGAAGUGGACAUUAACUGGUUUAACCUCUGACUUACAGGAAGUGUAAACAUCCUACACUCUCGGCGUAUGCCUCCUAGUGGCCGGGAGUGGGACUGUUUGCACUGCCUGACUCAGGAACUCCACUCGCCACUGAGGAAAUCUGCAUCACAUUUUUAAACACAAACUUCUAUGUUUAAUGGACUUUUUUUAACAUUAUGAUAAAUUAUUCCUGGAAGUUGUGGUUAAUAAAAACGUAAUCAGCCUGGUUUUACCUCAGGAAACUUCAUGUUUUGAUGCUUCAGAAAUCAGCUGGACCACACACAGAUGAGUCAACCACAUUACUACAAGCCUGCGGCUCAGAUUUUUUUUCAUUUGUGAAACAUGCUAUUCUUCCAGUGGCAGUAAAUUGUGUUAAAUUUAACUUUUGUAAGGGCCCAUCACCCCGUGUGAAUAAGCGAUUGAAGUUUGAACUAAAAGAUUUGUGCUAUUCCUCUUGACAUCCUGAGCUGGGCUGCUGGGGAAUGUUUGCCAUUCAGGACAGGAAACGGGGAGCGGCUGAUUUCUGAUUGGCUAGUUUUCCCGACCCGACGACCUCGGUCAUGGAUGUCCCACUGGGGCUGGGACACACACAUAUACACUCUUCAGAGCAUGUGAACCCAGAAUCCAGACAGUAGUGGUGCAGGGUAGGAGGGAAAGUGGAAAAUAAUGAUGAAAAAUAAGCAAUAAAUAUUUUAUGUAUUUAUUUAUUUUCUCUUUGCGUGGAAAACAAACUUACAUGAAAGUGUUUGGUGUAUUUUGCCCUGAAAGCUGAAAAUCUUUAAUAAAAUAAAACCCCCCGAAGCAUUAGAGGAAGAAUUAAUGGGUGUUGUCUGUGUGUGCAUUUAAAAGUGUGCAGAUUAUACACAAUCGAAAGAUGUAUUUAUACCCAACACAUUUAUGCAUCAGUUAUAAAUAGAGGAGCUGGCUGUUAAAGAGGAACUACUACUCUACAUGUGAUAUCUAGGUGAUGUAUUUACUCCUAUCAGGACAACCCAUGUAAAAAUGUUACAAAUUGGCUUUAAAUAACAGGAUGUAUUUUCUGCUAAGCAUAUGUAAAACUUUCUUAAAUGUGCACUUUGGAAUAAACUGUUGAUCAGCA